rnacentral:lncRNA from 1 species
UCCGGAUAGCGAAUAGAUAGCACUAGCUGAAUGGUGGGGAAAUUGCUCUUAAAGUAAGACGAGUUCGGGUAUUAGUAGUACCGCUGUACCUUUUCCGCUAAAAGACAUUUCAGAUAGUUAAGGCUCUGCUCGUGAUCAUUCGUUAUGGUAUAUUACGCAGAAACUUCUAUUAUCUUUACACAGAAGUUCUCACAAUAGUUCUCACAUUGAGCACACCUCGAUGCGCGUUCUGGAAAUGUAAAUGUAAGUCAUUUACUGCCGAAACCAUUAUGUAGUCUUGAGACAUUCAUAUACGUUGUAUGUUUUAUGGAGCACAACGUGGAGGAUAUCAAACUGUAUCUACAAGUCCAAUUUAAUUAUAGGCCACGCAAGGCUCAUCAAAGUUUCUGCAGCGACUGUUGCAGGUGCAAAUGCAGAACCUUCCUUCCUUCUGACCAGUCGCCGGUCGCCAGUCGUCAGCGAUCCGAGAGCUCAUUUUCGGUUCCACAUUAUUAUUAUCUACGCUUUGAGCCGCGCUGAGUCCGGUUCGGGUUCGGGUUCGGGUUCGGUUUGGGACAGCCGACUACGCGGACCGCUCUACAAUUCAUUUGCAAAGCGUAUCCAAAAAUGUUGAUGGGAUUAUUACAUGUUGUUGAUCUCGAGCGAGCGAGCGAGCGAGCGACUGGGGACUGUGACUAGGGACUGGGGACUGCGGCUGCAGGUGGAAUCUCUCAAUGGCCGGGCAGGUCUUUAUCUUUUUAAUGUUGUGGAUUGCUUUGUGUUUCUUUUACCCCUGCUUGUUGUUUUUCUUUUUUGGUUUU